GGACUUUGAGACUUGUUGUUAACACUUGAUGAUAUCAUAUAUUUGUAUGUAUCUUGUUCAAUUGGAUCAAGAAGCAACAGUUCCAUCGCCAACAACUAUGACAUCAAGAACUUACAUUUGAGAUCUCUGCAUGGUUAUCUCCCACUCUUUAACAAGCAAGGCAAGGCAAUCAACCCUUCAUGCCAGUGAUGAAGUAGAGAAGCUUUUGCUCUGUUUUAGAGUAGGUCUUGUUCAAUUGGAUCAGAGAAGCAUUGUCAACAACAAUGGCAUCAAGAAAUCAUUGUUUGAGAUCUCAAAACAUUUUCAUUCUCAUCGCUAAAAGGUAAAAACUGAGCCAGUUUCCUUUAAUUUGAGUAUAUAUACACAAAUAUACUUAACUACAUACCACAUUUACCUAAUAGCUGUUAGAAUUAUGCAUGUAAUACCUUAGGCAUCGGUGAACAACAUGGACUUAGAUUACAUAGAAGCACGCAAUGCAAGCUACCUAAGUCAAAGGUUUUAGCAACACCAUACCUGAUUGAGAAAGCGCAGCAGAAGUUAACUAUUCAUUAAGUUGCAUGAAUGGGAACUUACAGCAUCAUCAAUAUGAUCUCCGGCCUGUGCUGCUGUCUUGUGGCCUCAUUCUUAAUGUGAAAAUAUGUUGUACCUUUGCAAUCCAUAGAAUUCAAUGUUCUUUUUGAUAAUCCUGUUUCCCGUUUCCACAAACAAUAUAUAUGCAUCUUCAAUUCUUUUUUACU